AAUAGCUAUAGGAUCGGCCUGUACGGUAUCAGCUAGUUGGUGAGGUAAUGGCUCACCAAGGCAAUGACACCUAACUGGUUUGAGAGGAUGAUCAGUCACACUGGAACUGAGACACGGUCCAGACUCCUACGGGAGGCAGCAGUGGGGAAUAUUGCACAAUGGACGAAAGUCUGAUGCAGCAACGCCGCGUGGAGGAUGACACAUUUCGGUGCGUAAACUCCUUUUAUAUAGGAAGAUAAUGACGGUACUAUAUGAAUAAGCACCGGCUAACUCCGUGCCAGCAGCCGCGGUAAUACGGAGGGUGCAAGCGUUACUCGGAAUUACUGGGCGUAAAGAGCGUGUAGGCGGGUAAAUAAGUUGGAAGUGAAAUCCUAUGGCUCAACCAUAGAACUGCUUCCAAAACUGUUAACCUAGAAUGUGGGAGAGGUAGAUGGAAUUUCUGGUGUAGGGGUAAAAUCCGUAGAUAUCAGAAGGAAUACCGAUUGCGAAGGCGAUCUACUGGAACACUAUUGACGCUGAGACGCGAAAGCGUGGGGAGCAAACAGGAUUAGAUACCCUGGUAGUCCACGCCCUAAACGGUGUACACUAGUUGUUGUGAGGCUAGACCUUGCAGUAAUGCAGUUAACACAUUAAGUGUACCGCCUGGGGAGUACGGUCGCAAGAUUAAAACUCAAAGGAAUAGACGGGGACCCGCACAAGCGGUGGAGCAUGUGGUUUAAUUCGAUAUACGCGAAGAACCUUACCUGGUCUUGACAUAGAAAGAACUUUCCAGAGAUGGAUUGGUGCCUGCUUGCAGGAGCUUUCAUACAGGUGCUGCACGGCUGUCGUCAGCUCGUGUCGUGAGAUGUUGGGUUAAGUCCCGCAACGAGCGCAACCCUCGUCGUUAGUUGCUAACAGUUCGGCUGAGAACUCUAACGAGACUGCCUACGCAAGUAGGAGGAAGGUGAGGACGACGUCAAGUCAUCAUGGCCCUUACGACCAGGGCUACACACGUGCUACAAUGGGGUAUACAAAGAGCAGCGAUACGGUGACGUGGAGCGAAUCUCAAAAAUGCCUCCCAGUUCGGAUAGUAGUCUGCAACUCGACUACUUGAAGUUGGAAUCGCUAGUAAUCGUAGAUCAGCUAUGCUACGGUGAAUACGUUCCCGGGUCUUGUAUUCACCGCCCGUCACACCAUGGGAGUUGAAUUCAUUCGAAGCGGGGAUGCUAAAAUAGCUACCUUCCACAGUGGAUUUAGC
rnacentral:rRNA from 1 species